CCUAAGGUAGCGAAAUUCCUUGUCGGGUAAGUUCCGACCUGCACGAAUGGCGUAAUGAUGGCCAGGCUGUCUCCACCCGAGACUCAGUGAAAUUGAACUCGCUGUGAAGAUGCAGUGUACCCGCGGCAAGACGGAAAGACCCCGUGAACCUUUACUAUAGCUUGACACUGAACAUUGAGCCUUGAUGUGUAGGAUAGGUGGGAGGCUUUGAAGUGUGGACGCCAGUCUGCAUGGAGCCGACCUUGAAAUACCACCCUUUAAUGUUUGAUGUUCUAACGUGGGCCCGUAAUCCGGGUUGCGGACAGUGUCUGGUGGGUAGUUUGACUGGGGCGGUCUCCUCCUAAAGAGUAACGGAGGAGCACGAAGGUUGGCUAAUCCUGGUCGGACAUCAGGAGGUUAGUGCAAUGGCAUAAGCCAGCUUGACUGCGAGCGUGACGGCGCGAGCAGGUGCGAAAGCAGGUCAUAGUGAUCCGGUGGUUCUGAAUGGAAGGGCCAUCGCUCAACGGAUAAAAGGUACUCCGGGGAUAACAGGCUGAUACCGCCCAAGAGUUCAUAUCGACGGCGGUGUUUGGCACCUCGAUGUCGGCUCAUCACAUCCUGGGGCUGAAGUAGGUCCCAAGGGUAUGGCUGUUCGCCAUUUAAAGUGGUACGCGAGCUGGGUUUAGAACGUCGUGAGACAGUUCGGUCCCUAUCUGCCGUGGGCGCUGGAGAACUGAGGGGGGCUGCUCCUAGUACGAGAGGACCGGAGUGGACGCAUCACUGGUGUUCGGGUUGUCAUGCCAAUGGCACUGCCCGGUAGCUAAAUGCGGAAGAGAUAAGUGCUGAAAGCAUCUAAGCACGAAACUUGCCCCGAGAUGAGUUCUCCCUGACUCCUUGAGAGUCCUGAAGGAACGUUGAAGACGACGACGUUGAUAGGCCGGGUGUGUAAGCGCAGCGAUGCGUUGAGCUAACCGGUACUAAUGAACCGUGAGGCUUAACCUU
rnacentral:rRNA from 1 species